AGAGUUUGAUCAUGGCUCAGGACGAACGCUGGCGGCGUGCUUAACACAUGCAAGUCGAGCGGAAAGGCCCUUCGGGGUACUCGAGCGGCGAACGGGUGAGUAACACGUGAGUAACCUGCCCCAAACUUUGGGAUAACCCUCGGAAACGGGGGCUAAUACCGGAUAUGACUUACCCUCGCAUGGGGGUUGGUGGAAAGUUUUUCGGUUUGGGAUGGGCUCGCGGCCUAUCAGCUUGUUGGUGGGGUGAUGGCCUACCAAGGCGACGACGGGUAGCUGGUCUGAGAGGACGACCAGUCACACGGGGACUGAGACACGGCCCCGACUCCUACGGGAGGCAGCAGUGGGGAAUUUUCCGCAAUGGGCGAAAGCCUGACGGAGUGACGCCGCGUGUGGGACGAAGGCCUUCGGGUCGUAAACCGCCUUUCUCGAGGAAGACACCCGACGGUACUCGAGGCAUAAGCAACGGCUAACUACGUGCCAGCAGCCGCGGUAAUACA
rnacentral:rRNA from 1 species